CAAUUUAAUUUACCUUGACAAAAUUGUCCUUGGAAGAAAAAAAGAUAAAAUAAAAGAAGAAGAAGAAGAAGUUCAAGCAUAGGGAGGAAAUUAAUCAGGUUUUCAAAUCCGAUUUCGUCAAAUCAAACGUCAGAAUGAUAGAAUAAAAAGGACACGGUUGAAACGGCGCUAAAACUUGAAACAACUAUCCAACCAACCAACCAGCCAACCAACCAACCAGCCAACCCGCGUAUAUUUAACUCGGAAUCAUAAUCCGGUCUGAUAACCGUGGUGGAUGAACCGCGCGGAACGAGCAAAAGAGUUCGGCGGGCGUUAAUGCGUUUUGCAUCGAUCAGCAGACCGCCGCCGCGUUUCUGCUUUCGAUACUCUUGCAAAAGAGAGAAAGAGAGAAAGAGAGUUAACUAAUACAAGGAUAGAAUAUAGGGGGGUAACUGGCGUAACAUGAGAGGGAAAGAGCGUGCUAGUCCGCGCACAUUCCAGCGAUCGGAUAUCUUGAGUCCACCUUCUCUUAGGACGUCUUACUUAUAAUAUCUGGACGAGCCUUGGGUUAACGUGUUACAGGAGUGACUUGCGUCUUGGUAAUUUCAUCCCCGGAUCCGUAUAACAAACUGGAUGAAGUUGAUAUCUAAGAUGGAUUUUGACAAGCAACCCAUUGUUUUACUCUUUGAACGAGGAUGAGAAUGACGAUGAUGAUGAUGAUGAUGAUGAGGCUUCUCGGACCGUCGUCUCACCACUAUCGGAACAUCCCUACUCGGUUGAAUAUAAUAUAAGACCUCGUGGUACUACCUACCUCUAUCUACCGACGUUCAUUCUGACGUUGACCAAAGCCACUUGCUUUUUGCCAGCCGGUUACAAAGUAUGAUGAUCCCUUAGCGAGGACAGAUAGAUAGACGGAUGGAAGGACGGACGGACGGACAGAUACCCUGAUGAAAUCAUCAGGACUCUUCGCACCUGAUCGUUCGUUUCUUUCGUUCUGUUCUUCGUGCCGAGCGUUAAUAUCAGAGAGGAGCCGGCUGUCAGGACGAAAACUUACAUCGGAAUGAAGCAAUUUGCUCGGAGCUCUCGCGAAACCCCCCCCCCCCCCUGCUCUCUCCUCCUUCUCCUCCUCUCCUAUCCCAAUCCUUCAUCCCCUCAUCCUUUGCUUUCUUCCUUUCUUUCCUUUUCCUUCCUCCCCGCUUCCUAUACAAGAAACCACAAGCUUCCGUGAACCUUCAGCUUUAUGUCACGCUUCUCCUACUUCUUUUCUCUUUUUUUAUUUUUCUUUUUCGUUCGAUAAGGACUCCUAUGGUUGGAACGAAUGUCCUUUCAUUUUUAAACGACUUUUUGUGUGUGUGUGUGUAUUUUUUUGUUUUCGUAAUCUUCUUCAAAAAGUAACUUUAUGAGAACACAUUAUUCUUUACAUUCGCGACGUAAUAAUCCGAGUGUUGUUAUAUUAACACUGAAUUUACUGACGAUUUAAGUACACCUGUUUAUAUAUUGUAAGGUUAUUGGUCAUUUAUAACGUAAUUUAGAUUUAAUGUUAUUAAUAAUAGUGAAUUUGGU